GAUGAACGCUGGCGGCGUGCCUAAUACAUGCAAGUCGAGCGAUGCGGGGACGGUUGCGUAACACGUGGAUAACCUCCUUUAAUUCUCGGAUAACUUCGGAAAACCCGUGCUAAACACGAUACUCUUAGGUGGCUCAGCGCUGCAUUAGCUAGUUGGUAAGGUAACGGCUUACCAAGGCCACGAUGAAUAGCCGACCUGAGAGGGUGAUCGGCCACACUGGAAUUGAGACACGGUCCAGACUCCUACGGGAGGCAGCAGUAGGGAAUCUUCCGCAAUGGGCGAAAGCCUGACGGAGCAACGCCGCGUGAGUGAUGAAGGGCUUCGGAUCGUAAAACUCUGUUAUUAGGGAAGCGGUAUCUAAUCAGAAAGCCACGGCUAACUACGUGCCAGCAGCCGCGGUAAUAC
rnacentral:rRNA from 1 species